CAAGCACAAGAAAUGUAUGCUUCCCAAGCAGCCGGCUCCAGUGACGAAAGCCAAUGAUAAUAAGAAGAGUAAGAAGACGACGAAGGACAACCAAAACCCGAAGCCCGAAUCACCAGGGAUCUGGAAGCUGUUCGGUGCCGCGUCGUUUAAGAAAUUGGGACCGGCGUCGGCUCCGGCAAGGAGGAAGAGAUCGAACAGCACUUCCGCUGUCGCCGGUGCUAGGUUGUUUGUGGACGAGACGGCGGGACAGCCGUUGCCGGACAGAGCGCCGUGUUUGAGCCAGAUGAGGCGGUUCGC
rnacentral:lncRNA from 1 species